GGGGGUACUUUUUCCAUUAUCAAAAUAACCAGCAAACAGACCAAAUAAAUAAAUAGAAGUGGCCAUGCAUGAAGGAUGAUGAUCAACUUGAUUCUCUGCAUGUAAGGAGCAAUUUAGAAAGAAAUCAAAGCUAGAUACAUAGGGAAAAUUCACCUGCACGUAAUCCCACCACCCACAGGGUAACGAUUAUCAUUAACUUUCUCUUUUCUAGGUUUUUAAAAUACAUACAUAUAUAUAUAUAUAUCUUAAAUCAUAUUAUAUCUAUGAUCUUCUCUUUUUUAUUCUCAUUUUAAUGUGUAUACUAGAAGGCAAAACAAAGUUCCAAACACUGAAAGCAAAAAAUGCACAAAAAGGCUCUGACAGGCAUUACACAAUGAUCCAGAUUUUGUAAAACUUGGUGUUGAACAUGGGGAUUGCAUGAUCAUUUUUCUAGAAAUUGAGUCUCCUGGUUUUUGUUUUUAAGUAAUAGACUUUGUUUUUUUUAAGGAGCCUAUUUUAUUUGUUUAUUUUUAAAGAUUUUAUUUUUAAGUAAUCUCUACACCCAACAUGGGGCUCAAAUUCACAACUGCAAGAUCAAGAGUCGCAUACUCCACCAAGUGAGCCAGCCAGGCGCCCCACUUUAUUUAUUUAUUUAUUUAUUUAUUUAUUUAUUUAUUUUUGAGCAGAUUUAGGUUCACAGCAAAAUUGAGCAGAAAGUACAAACGUCCUCCUCUUUUUACUUAACAACAGGGCACACAAAUAUUUUCAUUUCAUUAAAAGCUUCUCAGAAACAAACUUUUUACUGUCAACAAAAUGUUUCCUUAUAUGGAUGUCAUAUGGUUUACUUAGCCUUACCGCCACUGGACAUUAGGGUUGUUUCCAGUUUUUUGGUGGUAUAAGUAGAGUGGUAAUGAACAUUUUUGUGUAUAAAUUCCACCCACACACAUAUUUAGCAUUAUUUCUUUGGGACAGAUUAUUAGAAUCAUUGAAAGAACCAAUAUGAACGUUUUAAGGCAUAUUUUAUCAAACUACCAACUUUCUUUUCAGAAAUUUUGUGCAAAUGUACACCUUUACCAGAAGAAUUUGAGAGGAUCUACUCACUACACUCUUAGCAGCUGUGGCGUCUCAAGACUCUUUCUCGGCCGUGGGCUCCGGACCUCACCAACAUUCCAAAACAGCAUCACAACUGGUUCUCAGAUCAAACAGCCCUUCAGGGAAGCCUUCCUGACACCCCCACCCGAUCGUCCCGGAAUCUAUUACGCACUUUUGUGGUACCCUGUGCCUCCCCUCCAGGCUCUUGCCUCGGUGGUUAAUAAGUACUCGUGUACUCACUUAAUGGGUGUCUGUGACUCCCCCAGACAGCGUCCCCCAAUGGGGGCCAGGGUCCCGCCGCCGAUGGCUGCUGUAACCCAACGCUGAGCAGCCGCUCCACUACACCAAGCAGGACAAGACGCUCCCAGAGCCCUGUCCGCUGGUGGCCCAGCUCCUCACUCUCAGCCUCAUCUACAACCCGUUAGUCAGGAGACCAAACGGUCUUUGUUUAGUUGAACAUAUACUGUACGUUAACUAACUGGAAAUUGAAUAAAAACAUUAAAACCCUCUUUGUCUGUAAUCAGAUCACAACUUCCCCCCUCCCCAAGGGUGACCUGAUGUGGCAAGGGUGACCUUUGCAGAUCCC
rnacentral:lncRNA from 1 species